ACCCUUUUGUAGUUCAUAAGCAUGAUGAUUGAGUUUUCAGGUGCAUGGGUGAGAUGUGCCUCCCUCAAAUUGUUCAGACAUUGGCACAUUACCUCUCUGAUG